UUAUUAUAGGAGAGUUGGCUUCAACAAGCACACAAAAGAAUCAUAAGACGAAGAUCAGUGUCUCAAAAUUCACCUCUUGUUGUCACAAACCUUUUCUCAUCAUCAUUUCUUUACUUUUUCUCACUUCCCUUCCCUCUCCUCUCACUACUACUUCUUCUUCUUCUUCUGUGUUAUAUGAGUACUCAGAGUAACUCCUUCCACCUACUAGUACUACCUAUAGUGCCAAAGGUGCAUGCUGAGCAAGAUGGAGAAGCAGGGCACGUGCAAUUCUAACUCAUCAACGCACGAAUGAACCCAGAGAAUCACUUUCCUUUUCUGCUUUUCACCAACCAGAUUCAUAGAUUCCUCUUUAGUUGCAGUGAGUUAGUCCUUCAUGUGCCCCUCUUCCCCAUCAUGACGGCAGCACCUUGUGUAGCAUUUGGAAAUCAUGAAAUAUGGCUUUUAAUUCUGGCUCCACCACUUUCAAGGUCAGUUAUUCCUCAUUCUCAUUUAUCUCUUUUAGUCUUCAUUUGCGACACUUAUCUCUUUUAGUCUUCAUUUGCGACACUUGUUCGUCCCAUCGCGAUUUCGGAUGUGACACUAUUUAUAAGGGUAUUGUUAGUUAAGAAUAUUUCAUCUUGUAUAAAGUCAAAGUACUUAGAAAGUAUGAGGCUUGGAAUCCCAGUUCUGAGAUAAGAUAAACAUCGACAUAAGUGAUGAGUUAUAUAUUUUAAUGAAAAAGGUGAUGAAGGGUGUGUGAUUUGUGAUUUACAGUCUGUCAUUUCAGCUGAAGAAAAAGUAAACAAAAGAAGCAAAUGCUACACAAAAUUCAGCAUGCAAGAAGCAUGUCAUGUUUGGUUUUAGGAAAGUGAUGCAUGGACCAUUCUACCCUAUUUGACACAAAGAAAGAGAAAAGAAGACAAAUAAUUGAUAUGAUGUGAUAUGAUUCUACAAAUUUAUCUUUAUUUGAGAUAAGUGGGACAAUGUUUUUGUGACAAAGUAAGUGUUAGCAUAAUGUUUGUAUGCAGUGUUGGGUUACAAGUUCUCUUAGCACAUUAAAAAUCUCAUUAACAGAACCUGAUCCAUCAUGAAUGAAUGCAUGGUAUGUGAAUUAUGAAUCAGAAUUGUGUCAGUGACUGACAUGUUAUUUUUUUCACUGGUUUAACUUUUGUUUUGUCACUGUUAAAUUUACCUUUGUACUGAAUGAUUGCUGUGCUGAUUUUGUGGGAGAUCAUGGAGAUACUGACUGAAAGGAAGCUUUUGAAGAAGACAAAAUGAGAAAAGAGAAGAAAUGUUCUCUAACAAAAAAGAAGUGGAUUAACAAGAAUUUUGUGUUCACUUGCAAUGAUUUGAACAGAUGCAAUGAGAUCAAAUUACAACAUGAAAAGAAGAUUUGAAGAAAGAAUAAAAUGUAACCGACAGAAUACCACGUAUACAAAACAAAAUGGAGAGAGAAAUAGAAAAGACAAAACAGAGAGGUAUUCUACUGAUAUUCUCUAAUAGUCCCCUCAAAAUCAAGGUGAUUGAAGAAUUUCAAUGACUUUGAGUUUGUCACGGAGAAGGCAGAAACGACUUCUAGAGAGAGGUUUUAUGAGAAGAUCAGCAAUUUGAUCAGUGGCAGGAAUGUGAGUCACGUAUAAUGACUGAUUAAGAACUUUCUCACAAACAAAGAAAAUGUCAAGCUCCAUAUGUUUAGUACGAGAGUGUAGUACAUGAUUGUGAGUAAGCGCUACUGUGCUUUGAUUGUCGCAAUGAAUCACAAGAGGAGUACAUCUAAUGUGAAGUUCUUUUAGAAAAGAUUGCAGCCAGAGAAGUUCAGAUGCAGUGAUAGCAAGGCUUCGAUACUCUGCCUCGGUGCUGGAACGUGCAACCAAUGUCUGCUUUCUAGACCACCAGGAGAUUAAGUUAGGUCCAAAGAAAAUACAGGCACCAAAGGUGGACCAACGAUCAUCUAUAUCUGAUGCUCAAUCUGCAUCACAAUAAGCAUUUAAAGUGUGACACCCAUUAGUGAGAAUAAUAGGACGUAGGUGUAAUCCAUAAGCUAGAGUUGCUUUUAAGUAGCGAAGGAUGCGUUACAAUUUUCAAAUGUUCCAAUAAAGGUUGGGCCAUAAAUUGACAUACUUUGUUGACACUAUAGUUGAGUUCAGGUCGUGUAAUAGUAACAUAUUGUAAUGCUCCAACAAUAGAACGAUAAAGAAGAGGAUCAUCCAUAUCUUCGGACCCAAGUUUAGAUAAUUUCAAUCCUCCUUGAAGAGGAGUGGAUAUGCCUUUUGCAUCAGUCA